rnacentral:rRNA from 1 species
GAUGAACGCUGGCGGCGUGCUUAACACAUGCAAGUCGAACGGAGUUUAUGUGAUUGAGGAUUCGUCCAAAUGAUCAUAAGCUUAGUGGCGGACGGGUGAGUAACGCGUGAGUAACCUGCCUUGGAGUGGGGAAUAACACAGAGAAAUUUGUGCUAAUACCGCAUAAUGCAUUUGUAUCGCAUGGUACUGAAUGCCAAAGAUUUAUCGCUCUGAGAUGGACUCGCGUCUGAUUAGCUAGUUGGCGGGGUUAACGGGCCCACCAAGGCGACGAUCAGUAGCCGGACUGAGAGGUUGGCCGGCCACAUUGGGACUGAGACACGGCCCAGACUCCUACGGGAGGCAGCAGUGGGGAUAUUGGGCAAU